rnacentral:rRNA from 1 species
GACGAACGCUGGCGGCGUGCUUAACACAUGCAAGUCGAGGGCGGGGAGCAAUCCCUGACCGGCGAACGGGUGCGUAACACGUGAGCGACCUUCCGUCUUCUGGGGGAUAGCCGGCCCAACGGCCGGGUAAUACCGCAUACGCUCAUUGGGCUUCAUGGCUUGAUGAGGAAACUUCCGGGGGAGGACGAGGGGCGUCGCGGCCUAUCAGCUAGUUGGUGCGGUAACGGCGCACCAAGGCGACGACGGGUAGGCUGGUCUGAGAGGAUGGCCAGCCACAUUGGGGACGUGAGAGACGGCCCACGACUCCUACGGGAGGGCAGCAGUGGGGAAGUCUUGCGCAAUGGCCGAAAGGCUGACGCAGCGACGCCGCGUGUGGGAGGAAGCUCUUCGGGUG